UACGUAGGAGACAAACGUUAUCCGGAGUUACUGGGCGUAAAGGGCGUGUAGGUGGUAGUGUAAGUCUGGCGUGAAAUUUUUCGGCUUAACCGGGAAAGGUCGUCGGAUACUGCACAACUAGAGGACGGUAGAGGCGUGUGGAAUUCCGGGUGUAGUGGUGAAAUGCGUAGAGAUCCGGAGGAACACCGAAGGCGAAGGCAGUGUCCUGGCGCGUAACUGACGCUGAGGUGCGAAAGCCAGGGGAGCGAACGGG
rnacentral:rRNA from 1 species